rnacentral:lncRNA from 1 species
AUUGGACCUCAUUCAUUGUAUGUUAGUCCUCACUAAAUCAAUUAAUGUUUAACAUAAUGUCACCUCCUCCACAUUAUAAUGAGACACACAUUAACUGAUCAAUCAUUAGCUGAUACUAAUGGACUAAUGUUCAUAUACUGUAUAUUACAUACAGUCACUAGUCAAUAGUGUCUGCUGGAGUAGAGGAGGAGGUGUCUGUUAUAAGGAGUGUAUCUGUUAAUAGUAUCACAUUGUACUAAUAAUAGUGAUAAUAGUAUUUAAUAAUAAUUGUUUUUAAUAGUUGUUUGUCGUUCCCAAACUGUUUGACUCCUCCCACUACUGUCACUAGUAAUGUUAUCAUUAUCUUCAAUGAGACACAGGAUAUAUUAUAAUAAUUGUUAGUUUUAUAGUAACUGCUGGUAGUUCCUCAACACAGCUGCUACUAGGACCAAUCUGCAGGAAGAGACACACAGUACAUAUAUGGUACACUACUCAAUUGUGUCUGCUGGAGUAGAGGAGGAGUUGUUUGACGUUCCCAAACUGUUUGACUCCUCCCACUACUGUCACUAGUAAUGUUAUCAUAUCUUCAAUGAGACACAGGAUAUAUUAUAAUAAUUGUUAGUUUUAUAGUAACUGCUGGUAGUUCGUCAACAACAACGACUAAUGAAGACCAAUCAUCUAUUAAUAAAUGAUUCAGUCACUAAUGUACAUUAUAUACUUGAUGUUAUAAAUAGGAACUACUAUCAAUAUUGGACCUCAUUCAUUGUAUGUUAGUCCUCACUAAAUCAAUUAAUGUUUAACAUAAUGUCACCUCCUCCACUUUAUAAUGAGACACACAUUAACUGAUCAAUCAUUAGCUGAUACUAAUGGGCUAAUGUUCAUAUACUGUAUAUUACAUACAGUCACUAGUCAAUAAAGAAAAUGGUGCAUUUUAGCCUGAUUCCUCCAAUUUAAGGAGAUUUCCAUAUAAAGGACAGUGGGCUGCCCAUAGGUGUCGACCCUCUUAGAGAAAGUUUUUUAACAACAGCUGCUACUAUAAAGAUUAAUACCCAAAAGUAUUGAGCAACUAUCUAUGGUAUCUGGUAAUGGGGAGGCCUAGAUAUGCUGUUAUCUUUGGUAAUAGUUUGUCAACAACACCUGCUACUAAAAAUUAAUACUCAAAGUAUUGAGCAGCCAUUUAUCACUGGACUAAUGGGGAGGUACAUGGCGACAUUUGACUAUCCCAAAUUCAAUUGGCAAAUGCACUACUCAAAGUUCUAGCAAUCAGAAUGAAACUUGGCAGAGACAGAGGUAGACUAGUAG